GCCUGGCGCGAUGGCUCACGCCUGUAAUCCCAGCAUUUGGGGAGGCUAAGGUGGGAGGAUUGCUUGAGCCUAGGAGUUCUGAGACCAGCCUGGGCAACAUAGAAAGACCCCAUCUUUA
rnacentral:SRP_RNA from 1 species